rnacentral:rRNA from 1 species
CGGACGGGUGAGUAACACGUGGAUAACCUACCUAUAAGACUGGGAUAACUUCGGGAAACCGGAGCUAAUACCGGAUAAUAUAUUGAACCGCAUGGUUCAAUAGUGAAAGACGGUUUUGCUGUCACUUAUAGAUGGAUCCGCGCCGCAUUAGCUAGUUGGUAAGGUAACGGCUUACCAAGGCAACGAUGCGUAGCCGACCUGAGAGGGUGAUCGGCCACACUGGAACUGAGACACGGUCCAGACUCCUACGGGAGGCAGCAGAA